rnacentral:rRNA from 1 species
AACGAACGCUGGCGGCAGGCUUAACACAUGCAAGUCGAACGAUGUAGCAAUACAUAGUGGCGCACGGGUGAGUAACGCGUGGGAAUGUACCAUUUGGUGGGGAAUAACUUCGGGAAACUGAAGCUAAUACCGCAUACGCCGAGAGGGGAAGAUUUAUCGCCAAAUGAUCAGCCCGCGUGAGAUUAGGUAGUUGGUGGGUAAUGGCCUACCAAGCCUACGAUCUCUAGCUGGUCUGAGAGGAUGAUCAGCCACACUGGAACUGAGACACGGUCCAGACUCCUACGGGAGGCAGCAGUGGGGAAUAUUGGGCAAUGGAGGGAAACUCUGACCCAGCCAUGCCGCGUGAAUGAUGAAGGCCUUAGGGUUGUAAAGUUCUUUCGCCGAUGAAGAUAAUGACGGUAGUCGGAGAAGAAGCCCGGCUAACUCGUGCCAGCAGCCGCGGUAAU